rnacentral:rRNA from 1 species
UACGUAGGGGGCUAGCGUUGUCCGGAAUCAUUGGGCGUAAAGCGCGUGUAGGCGGCCCGGUAAGUCCGCUGUGAAAGUCGGGGGCUCAACCCUCGGAUGCCGGUGGAUACUGUCGGGCUCGAGUACGGAAGAGGCGAGUGGAAUUCCUGGUGUAGCGGUGAAAUGCGCAGAUAUCAGGAGGAACACCAAUUGCGAAGGCAGCUCGCUGGGACGUAACUGACGCUGAGACGCAAAAGCGUGGGGAGCAAACAGG